AAGGAACAUUCCCGGGAAAAUCUAGUGUAAGAGAAUUGCUGGCAGAAAGAAUAACUGCUGGGGUCCAGGCAUGGCAGAGCUUGAUAUUUAUAAAAUAAACCAAAUUAUGAACAACUUAAUGGAAUUAUUUUAAUAUUAACAACUAAUGGUUAUGCCUGUAUUUCUAAUUAGCAUGCUUUUUAUCUCUCACUGUCUGUCAUUAAAUCUACCUGUUCACUCAAACCAAGACCAAGUCUCAUCUAUAAAGUCUUCACAGCCAUGUCUUCCAUGGCAGGCUAUCUCUCAAGUUCUCAGAGUGCAUCUAACAGCCCAUUGUGUACAAUGUAAACAGUUUCUGUGGUAUUGGUAUCUGAUACUUGUACUAUUUGGCAUUUCAAAAGAAUUUUGUAUAUCUUGUUUUUUAAGUGCAAAAGUAUGGUCAUUAAACAUACCCACAUUAUUUUGAUACUAUUGGCAUAAUUUUGGUGGUGUUUAUUGUUAUUGGUGAAUAUUCUUGGUGUUUUACUAUUUCUUUUUUUUUUUUUUUGGCUGUGCCUAUGGCAUGCAGAAGAUCCUGGGCAAGGGAUCAAACAUGUGCCACAGCAGUGACACCACCAAAUCCUUAACUUUUAGACUACCAUGGAAAUCCUAUUUAGCAUUUUAAAUAAUGUGGAUAUCUUUGCUUUAUUACUAGAUUAUAAAUUCUUUAAUAAAAAUAAUUCUUUAAAAGAUUUCAAACAUUCAAUGGCUGAACAUUAGAGUGUGAUGGAACAUAAAAGCCGUCUUUGUGAACCUCAUUUUCCGGAACAGAAAAAGCUGAAAAUUAAAUACGGCAUACGGGGUUGUAUAAAAUUUAAGAAGACAUGCAGUGAUUGAGAGUAGAGUUCAUAUUUGAGUUUGAAGCUUUUUAUCAAUAAAAUAAUAGGUCAUAUGGUAUUCUGCUAAUUCAGUCAGCAACUGUGGUCAGAAAAUGCCAAAAUAAAAUGAUACCUUAAGCUGUCCUACGAAAAUAGUCCAUAUCAGCAUGAUUACCAGUUAUGGUGACUACAUGGGGAAAAAGAGAGGCUGAUGCUCAGAUCCCAAGACUGUCUGUGAAUCCCUGACCCACAUCUUGCAGCAUCUUCAGCUACUUCUAAAAUGACCCUUAGGACAUAUGCGCACAGAGCAGAUCAGACAAUUUCUCUUAAUUUCUGACCAAGUUUUGAUACCACCUCCAGUGUGGUUUCCAGGUAAACUUUACCGGACCACCUUUCCCGUCGUGGCGCAGCGGUUAACGAAUCCGAUGGGGAACCAUGGGGUUGCGGGUUCGAUCCCUGGCCUUGCUCAGUGGGUUAAGGAUCCAGUGUUGCCGUGGGCUGUGGUGUAGGUUGCAGACGCGGCUCGGAUCCUGCAUUGCUGUGGCUGUGGCGUAGGCCGGUGGCUACAGCUCUGACUGGACCCCUAGCCUGGGAACCUCCAUAUGCCGUGGGAUUGGUCCUAGAAAAGGCAAAAAGACAAAAG
rnacentral:lncRNA from 1 species